UUCUUCACAGAGGUACUGUACCCCAGUACAGGACUCAUCAGGGAGCCCCUGAAACAUCUGCCUGUUGCGUCUUUGAGCGCGACUCUUCUGUUUCCUGUGUUCACUCAACGUGAUGAAACGCAGCUGCAUUCCGCAGUCUCGUGGGAGACCUCUCCGAUAUGUGAUUAAUAGCGUACCGGGACUGGAAAUUAAACCGGAUCCUCCGAACGGAUAGAAGUGUGUGUUUCUAUCCCCGGUGUGGCCACGUCCGGCACGUAGCGGUUGGCUGAGCUCUCACUCCCGUGUCUUUAGUGUCGGGGACCCAGCGGAUGAGGCCGGCAGCUCCACAGAGCCGCAUCUGUGCCAGCCGCGAGAUGAGAUAAACGCAGCGACAGGGUUCCGUCUGAUCGGCUCCUCUGCAAUGCUGCUGUCAUCACCGCCACUGACCCCCCCGCUCCUUCUGAAGGCUAUCAAGCCUGCAGUGGCCUGCUAGUAGCGUGCCAGCAGCACAGCUGCCCAUCCCCCAGAGGUUUGCAGCUACAGUCCCCGAGCAAGCAGCCGAAGCCAGGCAGUCGAGAUGGGGAUCAGCUGGGCCAGCGUUGGUGUUUACCUGGAUCGUUUCGCCGGUGUUCUGUGGCCGCAACCUUUCCGGCCUGGAGGCGCAGAAGAGCAGUCAUGGGCAAGGGCCCCCCAGCCGAGAGGCACCGCGCUCACUAUUGCCAUCAUGGCGAAAUCGGCACAGUGA